rnacentral:sRNA from 1 species
UUAAUGCUAACGUUACAACAUAACUUGGGAAUGCCAACAUAACAUCACACGCACGCAUGAUUAAGGCGUCAACAAACCCUUGGAAAUAUCCUGAUAAGAAUCCUAAAAUAGAUCCAAUAAGUACAGAAACAAAUAGUGCAACAAAGACAUAUAACAAACUUGGUCUAAUCGCAUAAAUUAACCUAGUUAAAAUAUCUCUACCUAAAUGGUCCGUACCUAGUAAAUGUUGAAAACUCAUACCAGCAAAUUUGUUUGCUGUAUCGAUAUGGUUAGGAUCAUAAAAUGUCACAAGUGGUGCUGCUAAUCCUAAAAAGACAUAUAAUACAAUAAUGCCUAAAGCAAUCACUGCACCUUUAUCUUGUAAUAAUCGUUUUAAAAUUAUCAUCGUGCGCCCUCCCUUAGUCUUGGAUUUAAUAGCGCAUUAAUGAUAUCUGCUAAUGUAUUAAAUACAAUAAAUAAUACCGCUACAAUUAAUACAUAUG